CCCCAGACGGGGCCGGGCCGGCAGGCAUCCGCACGCGGGGAAUUCUCAAGCUACUAAGUUUAAUGGGAACCAACUGCCCAGCCCCUCCUCCACCCUCUGUGCCCAGAGAAUAUGUGCUCAUUUCAACUCAAAUGACUCACAGAUGUGUCUCUCGCUCCCCACUUUCCUUUUCUCCCCCAAUAGGCCAGCUCGCGAUGGUUCUCCCCCUUUCUGUCAGAACAUCUACUGUCCGAGUGACGGGGGUCCGGGUGAGGUAGGCAAACUUCCCAGCUGAACCCAUUUUCGAGGUUGGAACACAACGCACCCCGUGCACCACGCUUUCUUCCUCACCAGGGCCUCGAAGGACAGGGAAAAUGGGUACUGAUCAUUUUCUCCUCCAGCAAGGGAGUUGGCAUCAGGAUGGGAUGAGACCAGGAUCUAGCGCCAAGGAUGGAAAAUUCUGCUUUGGAUGAAUUUUUAGAAGAAACCUACCAAGGUCAAGCUGUGAACGGCGAAAGCCCCAGAUAGGUAUCGCCAACUUACCCCCCUCCCCCGCCGGCCGAGAGAUUCCACGUGAUAUCUUGAGGUCCCUCGCAUUUUUCAAUUUCAUGACUUUGGGGACAGCAUAUGGUCAUUUGUGAUUCAUUGAGCAACAUCUAUGGAGAACCGUCUUCGUGCAAGGCUGUCGCUGGUGUUUCUCAAGGCUUCCCUCUUGGGUCUUCCCAGGAUGAGUCAGAAGCCACAAUGAAUCAAAGAUGUGACCGACCUCAGAUUUUCAACUCUUCUCUGGGAACCGGGCCUCACGGGUCUCCGAGGGGACCUCUGACUGUUUGGGGGGGGGGUGGUGGUGCCCAGUGGUCUGGCCUUUCCCGGGAAGGCCGUCCUGAUGUGUUUGAGCACCCAGCUUCUGUGGGAUGAAAGCAGCCAAUGCUCAUCGUUUGAGCUCCCUGUAGUGCGUACAUAAGUGUCCCAGCAUGCAUUAAGCACCCCGCCCCCUCCCUACCCCCUCUCUCUGACAAAGCUUUUAUAUGGAGCACGAGCACCCAUAAAUAACAGACCAACCUAUAAAUAAAUACA